GUGCCAGCCGCCGCGGUAAUACGUAGGUGGCAAGCGUUGUCCGGAUUUAUUGGGCGUAAAGCGAGCGCAGGCGGUUUCUUAAGUCUGAUGUGAAAGCCUUCGGCUCAACCGAAGAAGUGCAUCGGAAACUGGGAAACUUGAGUGCAGAAGAGGACAGUGGAACUCCAUGUGUAGCGGUGAAAUGCGUAGAUAUAUGGAAGAACACCAGUGGCGAAGGCGGCUGUCUGGUCUGUAACUGACGCUGAGGCUCGAAAGCAUGGGUAGCAAACAGGAUUAGAUACCCUGGUAGUCCAUGCCGUAAACGAUGAGUGCUAGGUGUUGGAGGGUUUCCGCCCUUCAGUGCCGCAGCUAACGCAUUAAGCACUCCGCCUGGGGAGUACGACCGCAAGGUUGAAACUCAAAGGAAUUGACGGGGGCCCGCACAAGCGGUGGAGCAUGUGGUUUAAUUCGAAGCAACGCGAAGAACCUUACCAGGUCUUGACAUCCUUUGACCACUCUAGAGAUAGAGCUUUCCCUUCGGGGACAAAGUGACAGGUGGUGCAUGGUUGUCGUCAGCUCGUGUCGUGAGAUGUUGGGUUAAGUCCCGCAACGAGCGCAACCCUUAUUACUAGUUGCCAGCAUUUAGUUGGGCACUCUAGUGAGACUGCCGGUGACAAACCGGAGGAAGGUGGGGACGACGUCAAAUCAUCAUGCCCCUUAUGACCAGGGCUACACACGUGCUACAAUGGAUGGUACAACGAGUUGCGAGACCGCGAGGUUUAGCUAAUCUCUUAAAACCAUUCUCAGUUCGGAUUGUAGGCUGCAACUCGCCUACAUGAAGCCGGAAUCGCUAGUAAUCGCGGAUCAGCAUGCCGCGGUGAAUACGUUCCCGGGCCUUGUACACACCGCCCGU
rnacentral:rRNA from 1 species